AUUGAACGCUGGCGGCAGGCCUAAUACAUGCAAGUCGAACGAGUGGCGGACGGGUGAGUAAUGUGUGGGAAACUGCUUGAUGGAGGGGGAUACCUACUGGAAACGGUACCCAAUACCGCAUACCAUUAGCUGUGCCCUGAUGGGACUAGCUAGUUGGUGGGGUAACGGCUCACCAAGGCGACGAUCCCUAGCUGGUCUGAGAGGGUGAACGGCCACACUGGAACUGAGACACGGUCCAGACUCCUACGGGAGGCAGCAGUAGGGAAUAUUGCACAAUGGGCGCAAGCCUGAUGCAGCCAUGCCGCGUGUAUGAAGAAGGCCUUCGGGUUGUAAAGUACUUUCAGCAGGGAGGCGUUACCUGCAGAGGAAGCACCGGCUAACUCCGUGCCAGCAGCCGCGGUAAUAC
rnacentral:rRNA from 1 species